rnacentral:rRNA from 1 species
UACAGAGGUCUCAAGCGUUGUUCGGAUUCAUUGGGCGUAAAGGGUGCGUAGGCGGCGCGGUAAGUCGGGUGUGAAAUCUCGGAGCUUAACUCCGAAACUGCAUUCGAUACUGCCGUGCUUGAGGACUGGAGAGGAGACUGGAAUUUACGGUGUAGCGGUGAAAUGCGUAGAUAUCGUAAGGAAGACCAGUGGCGAAGGCGGGUCUCUGGGCAAUAACUGACGCUGAGGAGCGAAAGCGUGGGGAGCAAACGGG